UGCCAGCCGCCGCGGUAAUACGGAGGGUGCAAGCGUUAAUCGGAAUUACUGGGCGUAAAGCGCGCGUAGGCGGCUCUUUAAGUCGGAUGUGAAAGCCCCGGGCUCAACCUGGGAACUGCAUCCGAUACUGGAGGGCUAGAGUGUAGGAGAGGGAGGUAGAAUUCCAUGUGUAGCAGUGAAAUUCGUAGAUAUUUGGAGGAACACCAGUGGCGAAGGCGGCUCACUGGCUCGAUACUGACGCUGAGGUACGAAAGUGUGGGGAGCAAACAGGAUUAGAUA
rnacentral:rRNA from 1 species